GAGUUUGAUCAUGGCUCAGAUUGAACGCUAGCGGGAUGCCUUACACAUGCAAGUCGAACGGCAGCGGGAAAGUAGCUUGCUACUUUUGCCGGCGAGUGGCGAACGGGUGAGUAAUGUAUCGGAACGUGCCCAGUAGCGGGGGAUAACUACGCGAAAGCGUGGCUAAUACCGCAUACGCCCUACGGGGGAAAGGGGGGGAUCUUAGGACCUCUCACUAUUGGAGCGGCCGAUAUCGGAUUAGCUAGUUGGUGGGGUAAAGGCCUACCAAGGCGACGAUCCGUAGCUGGUUUGAGAGGACGACCAGCCACACUGGGACUGAGACACGGCCCAGACUCCUACGGGAGGCAGCAGUGGGGAAUUUUGGACAAUGGGGGAAACCCUGAUCCAGCCAUCCCGCGUGUGCGAUGAAGGCUUCGGGUUGUAAAGCACUUUUGUCAGGGAAGAAAAGGUUUCGGAUAAUACCCGGNACUGAUGACGGUACCUGAAGAAUAAGCACCGGCUAACUACGUGCCAGCAGCCGCGGUAAUACGUAGGGUGCAAGCGUUAAUCGGAAUUACUGGGCGUAAAGCGUGCGCAGGCGGUUCGGAAAGAAAGAUGUGAAAUCCCAGGGCUCAACCUUGGAACUGCAUUUUUAACUA
rnacentral:rRNA from 1 species